GACGAACGCUGGCGGCGUGCUUAACACAUGCAAGUCGAACGAAGUGGCGAACGGGUGAGUAACGCGCAAUCAACCUGACCUUCAGAGGGGGACAACAGUUGGAAACGACUGCUAAUACCACACACUGAAGGAGGGGAUGGCGUCUGACUAGCUAGUUGGAGGGGUAACGCCCCACCAAGGCGAUGAUCAGUAGCCGGUCUGAGAGGAUGAACGGCCACAUUGGGACUGAGACACGGCCCAGACUCCUACGGGAGGCAGCCGUGGGGAAUCUUCCGCAAUGGACGAAAGUCUGACGGAGCAACGCCGCGUGAGUGAUGACGGCCUUCGGGUUGUAAAGCUCUGUUAAUCGGGACGCGGUACCGGAAUAGAAAGCCACGGCUAACUACGUGCCAGCCGCCGCGGUAAUAC
rnacentral:rRNA from 1 species